ACAAAAUGAAUAAACUAAAAUUAAAAUAAUUUUUUCAAAUGAUUAUGAAUGAUUAACACAUUUCAUCUAAAUCGAUAUGGACGAUUCCUAAAGUUGAUUAUGAUUAUGGAUUGUAUGGAGUUCUAAAAUAAAAAAACCCAGCAACUAUAUGUGAACCAUGUGGACAAGUUAUAUGUGGCGACUGUAAACAAGAUCACAAAUGUCUUGGAAUUGCUAUUAAGGAACUAAAUAAUCAAUAAAGUUAAAGUGGAUUUUCAAAGACAUUUGAUUAAUUUACCAGCUCAAAAAGACUGCAUAAAAAUUUACCUGAGAUUUGGGAAAAAACUAGAAAAAUCUUUGAUCGAAAGGAUGAUGAAAUGGAACAUAAUUCUUAUUGUUAUGUAACAGAUAUGGAGUUACAAUAAUUUUAUAAUCAAGAAAAAUUGUAAACAAGAGAUAUAAAGCAUAUACAUUCUACAAAUAGUAGAUUUGUACAAUACCAUUG
rnacentral:lncRNA from 1 species